UACGGAAUGUGCAAACGUUAUUCGGAAUCACUGGGCUUAAAGAGUCCGUAGGCGGCAUGUUAGGUGAGGUGUGAAAUCCCCCGGCUCAACCGAGGAAUUGCGCUUCAAACCGGCGUGCUUGAGGAAGAUAGAGGUGGGCGGAACUGAUGGUGGAGCGGUGAAAUGCGUUGAUAUCAUCAGGAACACCGGGAGGCGAAGGCGGCCCACUGGGUCUUUUCUGACGCUGAGGGACGAAAGCUAGGGGAGCGAACGGG
rnacentral:rRNA from 1 species